AUGCGUGAUCCAGUGGCACGAAACUCUAAAUAUAUAUUUUGCCAGCACCAAAACUCUCCGAACGAUUUUCCUCACCCAUAUGUAUAUGCGUGCACGCAUACAUACUUCUCGCGAAAAAAAAUGUAUGCACGCACGCACACGUCACGUCAGGCCGUGGCAUCGGAGGCACUGUGCGUUUACGCGUACUAUCAUCGGCACGUGAAUCAUCAGCCGGCGAACGUGUAUGCUCUACAAUACAUUUCCUCUCGCUUUCGCGUGCAAGACUCACACGAGCAGUACAGGUCACGUACAGCUACCUAG
rnacentral:rRNA from 1 species